GGAGGGGUGGCAGAGCCUGGUUUAAUGUACUUGACUCGAAAUCAAGCGAGCGGCAACGCUCCGGGGGUUCGAAUCCCUCCCCCUCCGCCA
rnacentral:tRNA from 1 species